GAUCCUGGCUCAGAUUGAACGCUGGCGGAAUGCUUUACACAUGCAAGUCGAACGGCAGCACGGACUUCGGUCUGGUGGCGAGUGGCGAACGGGUGAGUAACAUAUCGGAACGUAUCCAAUAAUGGGGGAUAACUAAUCGAAAGGUUGGCUAAUACCGCAUACGCCCUACGGGGGAAAGCUAGGGACCUUCGGGCCUGGCGUUAAUGGAGCGGCCGAUAUCUGAUUAGCUAGUUGGUGGGGUAAAGGCCCACCAAGGCGACGAUCAGUAGCUGGUCUGAGAGGACGACCAGCCACACUGGAACUGAGACACGGUCCAGACUCCUACGGGAGGCAGCAGUGGGGAAUUUUGGACAAUGGGCGCAAGCCUGAUCCAGCAAUGCCGCGUGCAGGAAGAAGGCCUUCGGGUUGUAAACUGCUUUUGUACGGAACGAAAAGGCUCUGGUUAAUACCUGGGGCUGAUGACGGUACCGUAAGAAUAAGCACCGGCUAACUACGUG
rnacentral:rRNA from 1 species